AUUCAUAACUCUAAUGAGCCUAAGAGAAAUGACUGGAAAUCACACUGAACAGCCUCCUCACGAGAAGAAGUACAUGGAGAAUCAAACUGUUACAGGUACAUGUUUGCACAGGAGAACAUAUGGAUGUUGAACAUGAAAAUCUUCAAACCCACAAUGGUUCUUAACGGAAUAAUUCCAGAAGAUCCAAGAAUGACUAAUGUCAACUAGCUCGUAUCUGUUUUUAUUUGCAUGGAGAAGACAAAGAGAUCAAGUAUUUCUAGCCAACUGAAGGAAAUUUUAUAGCAAUUUGUCCCUUUGUGGCUUUAUGGAUGCGAAAUGAUCUGUGGGUACUCCAGGGCAAGUGUUAGUGCUGUUUCAAUUCAUCUACUUUUAUCUACAAAAGAUACAGACUUUAUUUUAUAAUCAGAGUUUUUGAGCUGUCAUGUUAUUUUAUAGUAGUUACUUAAGAGUUUUUAUUUCAAUUUAAUAUAUCUAAGUGCUUGUAUAAAAAUUAUAAGCAGAAUAUUAAUUAUGCUUAAUAAAUCACACCUCUAAUGAGACAGAAAAGUCAUCAAAAGGAAACUAGAACUGAACUGACUUGAGACAAGGUCAAUAAAAUAUUUGGUUAUUUUUCAUUUUA